rnacentral:rRNA from 1 species
GCCGGGGCGGCGUGCUAUACAUGCAAGUAGAACGCUGAAGAGAGGAGCUUGCUCUUCUUGGAUGAGUUGCGAACGGGUGAGUAACGCGUAGGUAACCUGCCUUGUAGCGGGGGAUAACUAUUGGAAACGAUAGCUAAUACCGCAUAACAAUGGAUGACCCAUGUCAUUUAUUUGAAAGGGGCAAAUGCUCCACUACAAGAUGGACCUGCGUUGUAUUAGCUAGUAGGUGAGGUAACGGCUCACCUAGGCGACGAUACAUAGCCGACCUGAGAGGGUGAUCGGCCACACUGGGACUGAGACACGGCCCAGACUCCUACGGGAGGCAGCAGUAGGGAAUCUUCGGCAAUGGGGGCAACCCUGACCGAGCAACGCCGCGUGAGUGAAGAAGGUUUUCGGAUCGUAAAGCUCUGUUGUAAGUCAAGAACGAGUGUGAGAGUGGAAAGUUCACACUGUGACGGUAGCUUACCAGAAAGGGACGGCUAACUACGUGCCAGCAGCCGCGGUAAUACGUAGGUCCCGAGCGUUGUCCGGAUUUAUUGGGCGUAAAGCGAGCGCAGGCGGUUUGAUAAGUCUGAAGUUAAAGGCUGUGGCUCAACCAUAGUUCGCUUUGGAAACUGUCAAACUUGAGUGCAGAAGGGGAGAGUGGAAUUCCAUGUGUAGCGGUGAAAUGCGUAGAUAUAUGGAGGAACACCGGUGGCGAAAGCGGCUCUCUGGUCUGUAACUGACGCUGAGGCUCGAAAGCGUGGGGAGCGAACAGGAUUAGAUACCCUGGUAGUCCACGCCGUAAACGAUGAGUGCUAGGUGUUGGAUCCUUUCCGGGAUUCAGUGCCGCAGCUAACGCAUUAAGCACUCCGCCUGGGGAGUACGACCGCAAGGUUGAAACUCAAAGGAAUUGACGGGGGCCCGCACAAGCGGUGGAGCAUGUGGUUUAAUUCGAAGCAACGCGAAGAACCUUACCAGGUCUUGACAUCCCGAUGCUAUUUCUAGAGAUAGAAAGUUACUUCGGUACAUCGGUGACAGGUGGUGCAUGGUUGUCGUCAGCUCGUGUCGUGAGAUGUUGGGUUAAGUCCCGCAACGAGCGCAACCCCUAUUGUUAGUUGCCAUCAUUCAGUUGGGCACUCUAGCGAGACUGCCGGUAAUAAACCGGAGGAAGGUGGGGAUGACGUCAAAUCAUCAUGCCCCUUAUGACCUGGGCUACACACGUGCUACAAUGGUUGGUACAACGAGUUGCGAGUCGGUGACGGCAAGCUAAUCUCUUAAAGCCAAUCUCAGUUCGGAUUGUAGGCUGCAACUCGCCUACAUGAAGUCGGAAUCGCUAGUAAUCGCGGAUCAGCACGCCGCGGUGAAUACGUUCCCGGGCCUUGUACACACCGCCCGUCACACCACGAGAGUUUGUAACACCCGAAGUCGGUGAGGUAACCUUUUGGAGCCAGCCGCCUAAGGUGGAAUUAAGAGG